rnacentral:rRNA from 2 species
UGGGGAAUAUUGGGCAAUGGGCGAAAGCCUGACCCAGCAACGCCGCGUGAGGGAAGAAGGUUUUCGGAUUGUAAACCUCUGUCCUUGGUGACGAAGGAAGUGACGGUAGCCAAGGAGGAAGCCCCGGCUAACUACGUGCCAGCAGCCGCGGUAAUACGUAGGGGGCGAGCGUUGUCCGGAAUGACUGGGCGUAAAGGGCGUGUAGGCGGCGGAUUAAGUCUGGAGUGAAAGUCCUGCUUUCAAGGUGGGAAUUGCUUUGGAUACUGGUCGGCUUGAGUGCGGAAGAGGUAAGUGGAAUUCCCAGUGUAGCGGUGAAAUGCGUAGAUAUUGGGAAGAACACCGGUGGCGAAGGCGACUUGCUGGGCAGCAACUGACGCUGAGGCGCGAAAGCCAGGGGAGCAAACGGG